rnacentral:rRNA from 1 species
ACGGAGGGUGCAAGCGUUAUCCGGAAUCAUUGGGUUUAAAGGGUCCGCAGGCGGAUUUAUAAGUCAGUGGUGAAAGCCUACAGCUCAACUGUAGAACUGCCAUUGAUACUGUAAGUCUUGAAUUCGGUCGAAGUGGGCGGAAUAUGACAUGUAGCGGUGAAAUGCUUAGAUAUGUCAUAGAACACCGAUAGCGAAGGCAGCUCACUAGGCCUGGAUUGACGCUCAUGGACGAAAGCGUGGGGAGCAAACAGGAUUAGAUACCCUGGUAGUCCACGCCGUAAACUAUGAUUACUCGUUUUCAGCGAUAUACAGUUGGAGACUAAGCGAAAGUGAUAAGUAAUCCACCUGGGGAGUACGAUCGCAAGGUUG